UACGACUACAUAUCAGGCAUAUCAAUAAGCGGAGGAAAAGAAACUAACUAGGAUUCCCUCAGUAACGGCGAGUGAAGCGGGAAGAGCUCAAAUUUGAAAUCUUCAAGGUUUGACCUUGACGAAUUGUAGUUUAAAGAAGUGUUUUCGGUUAGAGGAGUUUAGUAAAAGUUCUUUGGAAUAGGACAUCAUAGAGGGUGAGAAUCCCGUAUUUGACCUAUUAUUUCCAGCUUUGUGAUACACUUUCAAAGAGUCGGAUUGUUCGGGAAUGCAGUCCAAAAUGGGUGGUAAAUUUCAUCUAAAGCUAAAUAUUGGCGAGAGACCGAUAGCGAACAAGUACCGUGAGGGAAAGAUGAAAAGAACUUUGAAAAGAGAGUUAAACAGUACGUGAAAUUGUCAAAAGGGAAGCGUUUGACACCAGUGUUGUUUCUACGAAAAUCAAUUUAUGAUGGCUUGAUGCUAAGCUUUAAGACUUUAUCCGCUUGUUGUUUAGUUUUCUUGUCUUUGUGAAUGCACUUUUCGUGGAACAAGUCAACAUCAAUUUCUUUUGCUGUAAAAGGGUAAGAGGAAGGUGGCUUCGGCUUCGGUUGAAGUGUUUAUAGCCUUUUAUCUCUGCAGUCGGAGAGAUUGAGGUCUGCAGCGUAGACUCUUCGGGGUUAGAUACGUCGGUGCUAUGCUAUAGCUUUUCAUAGACAACUUGUUGACUAUGUUUAGUCAUGUGGCUUACCCGCUGGCGCUAUUUUACCUACGCUUAGGAUGUUGAGCGCAUGUCUCUCUCU
rnacentral:rRNA from 1 species